rnacentral:rRNA from 1 species
UACGUAGGGUGCAAGCGUUGUCCGGAAUUAUUGGGCGUAAAGAGCUCGUAGGCGGUUUGUCGCGUCUGCUGUGAAAUCCCGAGGCUCAACCUCGGGCCUGCAGUGGGUACGGGCAGACUAGAGUGCGGUAGGGGAGAUUGGAAUUCCUGGUGUAGCGGUGGAAUGCGCAGAUAUCAGGAGGAACACCGAUGGCGAAGGCAGAUCUCUGGGCCGUAACUGACGCUGAGGAGCGAAAGCGUGGGGGAGCGAACAGG